AGUUUAAAGGUUACUUAACUAAGAGUACUAGACAUAACUGCCCUCACAGCACUCCUGAUAUGUGACUUAUCACCAGAUCCUGCGAUUGCUGACAGCGGUGCACAGAACAGUCUGGAAUGUUGCUAGGGACAGGCAGAUGGAAAGGAUACUGCAGAGAAGACCAAGAAAGAGAAAUAGGAAGAAAAUGCAGAGUGGGUUGUCAUGGAAUCUUCAAGAAGGAAGCUCAUUGCCUGACCCACUUGUUUCAUAAUGCAAUGAAAUGCUAAAGAAUUUUAACUCCAUAAGGAAAAUCAGGGCAAGACAAUAAAAGAAACAUUAAAUAUUAGUAAAAGUACA